GAUGAACGCUGGCGGCGUGCCUAAUACAUGCAGGUAGAACGCUGAAGCUUGGUGCUUGCACCGAGCGGAUGAGUUGCGAACGGGUGAGUAACGCGUAGGUAACCUGCCUGUUAGCGGGGGAUAACUAUUGGAAACGAUAGCUAAUACCGCAUAAGAGUAGAUGUUGCAUGACAUUUGCUUAAAAGGUGCAAUUGCAUCACUACCAGAUGGACCUGCGUUGGAUUAGCUAGUUGGUGAGGUAACGGCUCACCAAGGCAACGAUACAUAGCCGACCUGAGAGGGGGGAUGGCCAAAAUGGGAAUGGGAAACGGCCCAAGAUCCUACGGGAAGGAGGAGUAGGGGAACAUCGGCAAAGGAGGGAAAGCUGAACGAAGAACGCCGGGGGAGGGAAGGAGGGUUUCGGAUCGUAAAGCUCUGUUGUAAGGGAAGAAAGAGUGGGAGAGUGGAAAGUUCACACUGUGACGGUAUCUAACCAGAAAGGGACGGCUAACUACGUG
rnacentral:rRNA from 1 species